UACAGAGGAUGCAAGCGUUAUCCGGAAUGAUUGGGCGUAAAGAGCUCGUAGGCGGCUUGUUGCGUCGGCUGUGAAAACCCGUGGCUUAACUGCGGGCUUGCAGCUGAUACGGGCGGGCUGGAGUUCGGUAGGGGAGACUGGAAUUCCUGGUGUAGCGGUGAAAUGCGCAGAUAUCAGGAGGAACACCGGUGGCGAAGGCGGGUCUCUGGGCCGAUACUGACGCUGAGGAGCGAAAGCGUGGGGGAGCGAACAGG
rnacentral:rRNA from 1 species